AUGGUAUAAAUAGCUUUCCGAUUCUUACUGCAACUUGCUGGCUCUCAUUUUGUUCUCGGCAAGCUCUGGGAAAGAACGGAGCCAAACAGCAAGCAUUGGAUGCUGAGGACACAGAGCCUCUGCCUGCUUCUUCCAGAGGUCAAAGGACCAGAGGGAACUACAGGAUCUCCAGGACACCACGCUAGGCUGGAAGGAGCCCAUUGCUACAGGCAGUGUCCAGCCACACCACGGAGAAUGGCUUCUUGGAGCAGAGACUUCCAGAAUGAACUGUAAAAGUACAUCUUGGGUUGGAAUUGGAUUGUUCAUUGAUUGUUCUGGUGCCCAUAUGCUGAUCUGCAAGCUUGUCUGCAUGGUCUGCAGAUGAAUAUGAUUAAGAUUUGCAGGCCUGGUAUCCACACAGGAAGAAGAGGAGAUAGCAAGGGUGUGUAAAGAAGGAGAAAGGUCACGUGAAGACAAAUUGAGAAGGAAACCAUAUGCCUGCAAGCUGAGGACAGAGAUCUAAGGAGAAACCAGACAUACCAACCCUCUCUUCUCAAAUUCUAUAGACUCUAGAACUGCGUAAACAUGAAUUUCUGUUGUGUU